rnacentral:rRNA from 1 species
AGAGUUUGAUCCUGCUUCAGGAUGAACGCUAGCGGCAGGCUUAACACAUGCAAGUCGAGGGGCAGCAUGUCCAGCAAUGGAUGAUGGCGACCGGCGGAAGGGUGCGUAACGCGUGAGCAACAUGCCCUAUACAGGGAGAUACACCAGGGAAACUUGGUCUAAUAUCCCAUAGCAUUCAUUGAAGGCAUCUUUAAUGAAUUAAAGCUUCGGUGGUAUAGGAUUGGCUCGCGUGACAUUAGCCAGAUGGUGAGGUAACGGCUCACCAUAGCAAUGAUGUCUAGGGGUUUUGAGAGGAAGGCCCCCCACACUGGGACUGAGACACGGCCCAGACUCCUACGGGAGGCAGCAGUGAGGAAUAUUGGACAAUGGAUGGAAAUCUGAUCCAGCCAUGCCGCGUGCAGGAAGACGGCCUUAUGGGUUGUAAACUGCUUUUAUACGGGAGCAAUAAGGGUUACGAGUAAUCCGAUGAGAGUACUGUAUGAAUAAGGAUCGGCUAACUCCGUGCCAGCAGCCGCGGUAAUACGGAGGAUCCGAGCGUUAUCCGGAAUUAUUGGGUUUAAAGGGUGCGUAGGCGGCCAUUUAAGUCAGCGGUGAAAUUUUGCAGCUUAACUGUAACAGUGCCGUUGAUACUGUUUGGCUAGGAUUUGGUUGUAGUGUGCGGAAUGUGUGGUGUAGCGGUGAAAUGCUUAGAUAUCACACAGAACACCGAUUGCGAAGGCAGCACACUAAGUCAUUAUUGACGCUGAGGCACGAAAGUGUGGGGAUCAAACAGGAUUAGAUACCCUGGUAGUCCACACUGUAAACGAUGAUAACUCGCUGUCGGCGAUACACAGUCGGGGCCAAGCGAAAGC